UGCCAAAAACUGGAGGCUCCUAAACAAGAUAAACAACAUUGAUCACAAAUUUAACCAUAAACAAAAACUCAGAAUUUAAAAUGUAUAGUUCCAAUAUGGGCAACUUGUGAAGGCAGUUACGAAACUUGUUCAUUUUACUUUGCCCACAAAACCUCAUUUUUUUCCAUAUAGACUACAUGAAAUUGUUGAUGUGUCCUUUCCGUCGAGUCUCCAUAAGAGACAAAUAAGCUUGUCUACUGGCCUACAUGACUGCACAAUCCUGAAGGAAGAAAAAGGAAGUCUCUCUUCCAUAAGUGCAUGCUAUGAGAAGUUCAGGCAGCAAAUUGCUGCUUGCCAUGGUCUGUGUGAGAGAGAGGGGGGCUGGGGCAAAAUUAUUAAGCAUAAGGUAUUGAGACAAGAUGAGUUGACAAGGAGAUUGAGUUUUGUUUCCCUGUUUGCAGUUUGGUGAAGCUAGGAAAACACCAAAUUAAAACUACAGAUGGCAAUGAUUUAAGCUCUUUCCCCCUUUUUUUUUCUCUUUUCUUUUAGUGUUUGUUUGCUUGAAAUUGGGUUCUUGCAUUGCAAAUGGGUG
rnacentral:misc_RNA from 1 species